GUGUCGCGGCUUUAGCAUAAUUGAUUGCUACUUACUCUAUAUGCAAGGAAUACACAGAUCCAAACUAACAUCCAAACAUGCAGAUGCAGAUGUUCCUUUCUGAGCAGGAAUCUGGUGGAAAGGUGUGGCUGUGUUCACUGUCCUACCAGCAUUGAUGACUGUUCCAAGUUCUUGAAUGGAACUUGGACGAAAGGAUCAUGUUCUGAGUGGA